rnacentral:rRNA from 1 species
UCUACGGGAGGCAGCAGUGGGGAAUAUUGGGCAAUGGGCGCAAGCCUGACCCAGCAACGCCGCGUGAAGGAAGAAGGCUUUCGGGUUGGAAACUUCUUUUCUUAGGGACGAAGAAAGUGACGGUACCUCAGGAAUAAGCCACGGCUAACUACGUGCCAGCAGCAGCGGGAAUACGUAGGUGGCAAGCGUUAACCGGAUUUAUUGGGUGUAAAGGGCGUGUAGGGGGGAAAGCAAGUCAGAUGUGAAAACUCAGGGCUCAACCCUGAGCCUGGAUUUGAAACUGUUGUUCUUGAGUGCUGGAGAGGAAAUCGGAAUUUCUGGUGUAGCGGUGAAAUGCGUAGAUAUACGGAGGAACACCAGUGGCGAAGGCGGAUUGCUGGACAGUAACUGACGCUGAGGCGCGAAAGCGUGGGGAGCAAACAGGAUUAGAUACCCGAGUAGUC